rnacentral:rRNA from 1 species
GCAAUGCCGCGUGGAGGUAGAAGGCCCACGGGUCGUGAACUUCUUUUCUCGGAGAAGAAGCAAUGACGGUAUCUGAGGAAUAAGCAUCGGCUAACUCUGUGCCAGCAGCCGCGGUAAGACAGAGGGUGCAAGCGUUAUCCGGAAUGAUUGGGCGUAAAGCGUCUGUAGGUGGCUUUUCAAGUCCGUCGUCAAAUCCCAGGGCUCAACCCUGAACAGGCGGUGGAAACUACCAAGCUGGAGUACGGUAGGGGCAGAGGGAAUUUCCGGUGGAGCGGUGAAAUGCGUAGAGAUUGGAAAGAACACCGAUGGCGAAGGCACUUUACUGGGCUAUUACUAACACUGAGAGACGAAAGCUAGGGUAGCAAAUGGGAUUAGAUACCCCAGUA